UCAAGAAAUAUACACAGUGACCGGAAAGCGUUACUUGCAAUAUCAAGGCUACUAUUACUCAAGAACCUCUACUUAUCGAUGGAGAUGUAUUUACACAAACAGAUGCUUCGUUCGUCUGUGUGUAGACGAUUUAUUACGCGUUGUCAAACCCCCAAAACUUCAUUUUCAUCAGCCCCCAUUAUUCUAUAGAACACUCUCUGUGCAAAUUAUAACAACGACACAGGGAAAGCAAUACAUGAAAUACAAAGGCCACUACUACACUAGAACUCCGAACCUUCAGAACCGCUGGCGCUGCAUGAACACCCACUACUGUUACAUAACUCUCUGCGUGGACGAAUUCAUGAACAUAUUAAAGGAACCACGGGAGCACAUGCAUCCUCCCAAGCGGUUCUAUAAAACUUUAGACGGGACGUAUAUGCUAGCAAAGGAACGACAUCUCAUUUCGCUUCCAGCUUAUGAUGCAUCGCGACGACGUGCCAAUAGAAGGAAGGAGGAGAGUCUCGCUAAAUGUAUAGAUUCAGGCCCCAGUUAUGAAAUUCCAUUGUCUGAUAUGACAAAAUAGACACACAGCCACCUUGUGUGCGGAUGUUGCACAAAAUAUGUACUUUCAGUGACAACAGUACAAUGACCGUAAUGUAUUUUCAGUAUUAAAAAGUUGAAUGAAAUCAUCACUACGAUUCGGCUGCAGAAGAUUUCUUUGAUGUGACCGAUAAAGCCGUAGUCUACUUAAUUUAAAAAUAUAAUAAUAUUUAAUAAGGGCCACCACAAUUUUGUUGAUUUUUUGAUCAGUCAAGUAUUGUCAGUGAUGAUGAUU